AAGGGACACAAGCCGUUUGUGUAUCAACACUCAUUUGUGCGAUACACAUGAAGGAGAGUGGUUUUGCCUUGAUGCACCUGUCCUCUCACCAACAUAAGAUAGCCAUGCUGUAAGAUACAAAAUACAUUUUCUUGAUUAAGACUGAUUUGCAGCCAAUCCAGCUAAGUCUGGCCCAGUAUGUUUGAUUCUAUGCACACGUGGCAUACAAACAGCUGUGCUGGUUCAGCUGCUGAGGCAGGUCGAGAACCAGGAAGAAUCUCGAGUGCUGGAGGCGAUCCCGGGAGCUGCUUGUAGAAAUCAGUGUGUCUCACAGAAAGAAAAUUUGAGAUGACUUCCCUGUCGCUGAUCAUGUACAUUCCCUAUGCAGAUUUUCUGUAAGGCACUGUGUGUCACUGAGGCUUGCAAAAAUAUCUUGCCUAUGACAGGCACCAUAUUGCUUCUAGCAUCAGGUUAAAAAAUACUCUGCUGGGAAGCAAUAUGUUACACUGUCAAUAAAAGGAAUACAUCUCAAAACCUUUGUUAUACAUGGUGCUUACUCUUGGUGUCAGUGAGAUUGUGAAUAGUGGUACAGUCUGCCUCUGUGAGAAAAAAAGGGUUGCAAGAUCAUACACAGAGAUCAUAAAUACCUCAGGCAUAAAUUAUAAACAGUUCUAGCCAGUACAAGUUUGUUUGCCAAGUGAUAGUAUCUCCCAUGUUGGUUGUAGCAAUUAUGUCUGCUGAAACAUGAAAACAAAUACAUACCCCCCCAACUCCAGCUCUCCUCACUUCAGCACAUACAGAUUUAUCGUUAAAUGUAAAUUUUCUUUGGUGUCUGCUGCUUAGAAGGAAUAUUAAACCUCAUAAUCUAGGCUUUAAAUCAAUUUCUAAUGGGAUGAGACCUAAUGUGGGGAGGGCAGCUGGGGCAGGUUAUUCCACCUCUAUUUUCCCAUGAAGUUUCUGACAAGGGCUACUGUUGGAAGAUACUAGAUUAGUUUGACCUCAGGUCUCAUUCAGUAUUGCAGCUCUUAUACUCCUGUGUUAAACUCUGUAGUGCAUAUUGCUAUCAAAUUGCUUUCUACAGCUCUGUCUGACCCCUCCCCCCAGUGAUGUUGUGCAUGGGAAGCCAAGCAAAACAUUCCGUUAAUGUUUAGAAAGAGAAUUUGAGAUAUGUUUUUCAUUUGAUGCUGUAGGAUUUAGUACAUGCAUAGUGCAGAAAUGAUUUUACUGGACUUAAAUCAUAUUAUGUAUUAAUGAAUUACCAGGAUAUGAGUCAGCAUUGGAAUAGUUUGAGCAGGAAAGUAGCAUUGUUCCACAAACAAUAAUCUGUUGAUAAAUAGUGGUGAAAGCUGUAAUUCAAUAGGAAUUGUUUUUGAAGAGAACCAGAGAGAGACUCUAUGGAUAUAUAUUCUCCACUAUUGCAGUGGUGCACCUUGAGAUAAUGCCAUGUUACAGCUCUCACUCAUUUAAUCACCUUAAGGUCAGGAAUCCUUUACACUAAGUGCUGUACAGAAUUGCAGGAAAAUGACAACCCUAUCCCAAAUGUUCAGAGGAGCUUCAUCUUCCUGUGCUUGUUUCUACCCUUCUGGGCCUUUUAAAAGUGCUCAAUUUCGUUUACUUUUUUUCUAAUGAGAAUAAAAUCCCUUAAGAUCUUAACUCAUUUAAGCAAAGGAGUGUGAUUUUCUUCCAGAAGCCAUGUUAUGAACUACUUGUGUUGAUAAUUUUCUGAUGAGCCCUGUGUUAGGACAGGUGAGAUAAAAACAAAAAUUUAAGCUCUAAUACUAAGAGGCAAUGAGAUGGAGGAGUAUUUCCUGGGUUAUUGUUGGGUGGAGGGUUUUUUUUUAUUCGUAUUUGCAAAAAGCUUCUGUUCAUGUUUUUGGAGUGAUACCUGCCAUUCCUGGACUCCCUGGAGGCUGGCCUUCCUUGGUGGAAGUAGUGGCAUGAAGCAGAGCACACAUGAACAGCCCAAUGGAGGGUACAUUUUUCUGCGGGCACAAGCCACAACUCAUGGAGCCUGUGGCAGACCAUGAGUUGCAGGCAAACAAUCAGCAAGCAUGUGGCAGAGACAAGAAACUGCCUCUUAUCAUGGCCUCUUCUGCUUUUCUCAUUGGCUUACAGAGGCAAGCAUUGUUUCACCUCUCCACUUCCAUAUGCCCUCCUCCCACCUUGAUCUGAUCUUUAGAUUGAGUGCUUGCAAAGAAGAAGGUGACUUGUGCUAGUUCUGGACCUCAGGACAAGGUUUCUAAUUACUUUUUAAACAAGCCUUUGAAGCAGAGGCAGAGAACAGCAAUUAUUGUUUGUAUUAAUUGGCCACUGACUUCACUGGGAGCUUGAAGUAAGCUAGGGAUGCACAAUCAGAAUGACAGGAGGUGAAGUGCAGCAUUUGAUUUUUCAGUUGAAAGCUGAAACUGUUUUUGUACUUGCUCUUUCAGCACCAUCAAAUAACACUAAAGCAGAUUUUGACCCAGAGUAGCCCCUUAUUCCUUCAAGAAGUCUCACUAGCAGCUACUACUCAGCGGUGAUAGAGACAGCUUGGCAAAGAGAAGGUCUCUCUUUCCAGAAAUAUGUCUAAAAAAACAAAUGUAUUUCAGGAUGGAGGGAAUAUUCCUCACUUGAUACACAGAGGGUAAAACCUUUUUUGUUUGUCUCAUCAGGCUGUUAAGUUGCUCUUACAGAGUUGCUGUGUAAAUAGUGGCUUGAGCAGAGUGCAGACAACUAAACAUGUUUAUAUUUGUAGGAAAAUAAAUAAACCUGCCUGAAGUUUCUUUUAAUGCAUUUCUGCUGUUGAUAUAUGGCUUUUCCUAUCCCAAACACUUGACGCGUAACACAGUUUAUUGCUGUAAUAGCAGUAGAUAACUCAAUUUGCCUUUGCCUUGGAAAAUGAUUGAUUUUGGAAAAGGAUAUGUUUGUUUAUAAAAUCUUGGCAAUGAUCUGAUGAAAGUACUUUGUUUUCUUUAAAAAAAUGUUGGGAAAGUAGUGACUUUAAUUGCAUUUUAGAUUGUCCUAGCAAAACAAUGGUAAGAGGAUAAACAUAAUAGGAACUAAAGCCAAUUGCCUCUUACUGGUUUCCUCAGGUUAAUAGAGGAGCCUGAGCACAACAAAGCCCUCAUGUAAUGGAGAGGAGCUGCAGGGUGGGAAAGAGCUCAGACAGGUAAACAUAGACCCAAGAGCAAGGGCUCUGUCUCAGAAAUCUACAGGCCAUCUAGCGUUGACUCUAUUUCAGUUGCCAAUAUUAAGCUCAUCACACAGAAACAGUCUUUUGCCUUCUUGUCUCUACAUCUCUCCCUCUUUUACCUUCUAUCUCAGCAGAUUCUGCCCUCCAACAGCCCUCAAGGCUUGGAGGUCCUUAUGUUUCCACUAAGGAUUUUGUGUCCAACUGUCACAUGUAGAAAUGCCUGUACAAGCUAUACAAGCAACUUGACUCAAGUUCUUUAUUGUCUUACCAUAAAUAAUUCUGUGUUUCAAAAGCUUGUCUCAAAGACUCUCUGUUCAUAAUGUGUCAGGGCCAUGAAGCUAAUAAAGCCAAUGUCAGAUGUGUGUUGGGGGUGAUGGCCCUCAAAUGCAGAACAGUGCAUUUAUUAGCAUGUACAUAUUCUUUUCGUAUUAACAAUGAAGCUGUGAUUGUUGAAAUGCUCAUGCAGGGCACUAAGAAGAGCUGUAAUGGGAAAACUACACAUCCUGAUGCCCACAGUGCUACAAUUUUGUUGGUGCUAGCAUGCGUAACAGAUUAGACUUAUCACAAAGGUCACUGAGUAUAGUUGCACUUGCAUUCUCCAAGCUAAGCAUUUAGAGGUAUGGUUUUAACUCAGGCUCAUUUAUCAUAGCUUUGUUGACUUUUCUCUGAUUUGCCAAUCACCAAAAGGUUGCAAAUGUACUUACUGUUUCUUUGCUCUUGUACAUGGCCUUUCAUCAAGCAGUUUCAGCCCUUCCAAUUUUGUAGCUCUUAGGGGGGGGAAAAGAAGGAGCAAAGUGCUUGGUUCCACUCAUUUCCUAUUGAUUUUAAAAGUAAUAGGUUCUAAAAAUGAACAAUGUUGUUGAAGAUAUAUGUGCAUUUCUGAUAUUAUAAUCUUUUGUUGUAUUUAGCAGGUAACUGUGCACUACUCGGAUUCAGAUCCCUAUAGGACAUUUAAAAUCUUUUAAAAAAAUCUUUAUAAGUCUUUUAAACUGAUUUUUUAAAAUUGUUACAAGGAUAACAACAAACACAAAGUAGGAUGAAAACAACUGCCAUGAGCUCAUGGUCAGACUAAGUUCAAAAAGCUUCACAGUGAAAACCAGUAAUGAUAUUUGAAAUCUUCCUUUCCAAAUGCCUUUUUAGAACACUUCCCUUCAUAUCUGUGACCUUAGGCAAUCUUAUUAAUUUUAUGCCAUUGUGUCUAGUUAUUAGUAUGUUUUUUUCCCAAUCAAUAGGAGACCCGGAAAACUUUCUCACAUGCAAAAACAAUAUCUUUCUUUCUUUUUUUAAACUUCUUUAUUUAAAAGUAUCUCCAGACCUGUCUCUGGUGAUUGGUGAGUUUCUCUGCAAACCCUCCUCAGAGACUUUGCUAGCUGAGGGUUCUUCUGCCCUCUCUGCUCCCUUUCCCUGCCCAAGAGCAGAUGGGGAUCCCUCAAGUUUCUUCUCUUGAAGUACAUGAGUACUCAAUCUGAGGGUGUCUAGAGGGUGUCUGUAUAGACAGGAUAUGUGGAAUGUGUCACAGGUGUAUAGGCGCCUUGCAGUGCAUGCUCCCAGGAGGUCACCCAUCUUCAGCUGCAGCGCAGAUCUGUAGCCUUUCCCCAGCUCCAGAAGCUCAUACAUCUGGUAAAGCAGGUCAGUAAAUUACACACUACAUUGACUAAGGUUAUCUCUCAAGUGAUUUCGCAGAUUGAGGGAGAAGCCAUGGCAGUGUUGGUUGAAAUAUGGUGAAAAGCACUGGGAAAUACUGGGCUAAGGAGAACUGAGGAUGUGUUCCCUGUUGUAAGUGACAAGGUGAAUAGUCUGCAUAUAAGAAACAAACAUUUCUCAUUAGAUAUGAAAUGUACUGCUGUCUUCUAUUCAGAGAGCCUCAGUACCCAGCAUCUGGUUUCUCAUUCCUCUAUCAGUUAUGACAGCUGGUCAAAUUCAGAAUUGCUGACCAGUUCAGCUCAGCUGAAGAAGAAGAGAAGUGAAGGAAGAGCCUUGGCCACGCUCUUUUUCCUCCUCAGCAGUCCCAUGGGCAGCUCCAUUCUCCAUCUCCUCUUGCAGUGCCAAGAUUUAGCAAGUAGCUUUGUGUUGAAAAUAUUGGAAGAAAAGAUUGUCUGCUAGACAGGGAAAUUAUCAGGUAGUCCUCUACCGUUAUUCGGUUUUCAGUUUGCUGCUUCUUACAAAAAGAAAAAAAAAAAAGAAAAAAAAAAAAAGAAUGUAAUGGGGUAUUUCAAAAUGCUGCAGGGAAAAAAUAUUGAAAACUUUUUACGUUGCCAAACAGCAGAGAAAUAAUAAUGUAAUAACAAUGAUGAUGGCGAUGAUGAUGUAUUUCAUUACAGAAAUGUAAAAACCCUUGGGCCAAAUCCCACCAUCUUUAUUCAAAGAUACCCCCAAAGACCCCAAGGUUAGCUGCCAAGUUUUGCCUGGCUGAAAUUGCCAAAUUCUGCAAUUUCCAUCCAAAACUAUAAAUCUUCCCAGCUCCUAAGGCAAACCUUUUGGUAAUCCAAAAGCAAGCAAUUGGUUCUGUGGCUGAUGCAUGAGGCAGAACAAAACCAUACUGACUGGGAGCAGAAUUGGCUCUGCAGUGCUGACAGGAAGAUGAAUGUAUGGUGGUCAGUUGACUUGGCACAUACAUUAAGGGGAACACAUAGGGAAUAGAUAUUUAUAGCAUUAAGAUGUCAUUUUGCAGCCCCAUUUCUGCAGACUCUGAGAAAGCCCUGAGGGAGGCUUGUGGAAGAGAAUGAGCUUGUGGACUGUGUGUGGAAGAAAAUUAAAAAAGGAAUUUUUGAAAGAAAUGGAGAAGAGAAGGGAAAAUUUGUUGGUACAUGAGAUCACAUAAAACUCCCUUGGAAGAGUUCCUACAGGAAGGAUUGUAUUUACUCUGGAGAAGGAGUAAAUAGUUUAGACCUACAGUUUAUAUUGCCAAGUCUCAGUAUUUAACCUUCAUUCCUUCUGCUUUCAACCCCCAGAGAUAGCAAAGCGGUUUCCAGAAAGUGUAACUGGGUACUUAUGAUAGGUCUGAUAGCAAAGAUAAAGAAAACAAGCUGCUACUUGCCUUUAAAGACUCUCCCAAUUUUACUGUCUUGUUCUUUCCAACUAUAGUUCCCUUUGCUGUAACUUUUGGGUAAACAGUGUGAAGCCAACUUUCUGAUGUUAAUGAUGAUGAUGAGUUUGCUGGGUUAAGAGUUGUCCCCUUGGUGCAUAGCAUCAAAGAAAGAUCUGACUACUGAAGUUCCUCUAACCACUGAAGGGGCCAAUGAAUGAUUACUGUCUUCUGAACUUCGCUGCUCUGGUGAUAUGAAUUAACGGAGGCAGCCAGCCAGCCCAAGGGAACUACUUAGUUGAGUUUUGCUUUCUUAUAUGUAACCUCAGACCCAACAAGAUACUACAAGAAAUACAUCAAGAGGUACUUGCUGAUUCCUGGAAGGAUCAGGUAUGCACAACACUCUUAUAAGAGAAAUUAUUCAGCCUUUACCAGAUUUAGCAAUUAAAAAAGAUUGCACUAAUUUGAACUCUAAAAAAUAAACUGGUGUAGGACACUAGAAAUUUACUCCAGGAAAACAUCUAGACCAUCCUCUCAGGAAGAGGGAUAAGAGGGAUGCUUUUGGAGGUUACCAGUGAUAGAUGCUGCUUAAGUACAGCAGGUCAGGCUAAAUGAGCAUGGUCAUCUUGCUAAUAUUAAAUAAAAUCAUUCUAUCAAAAUAAAUGUCCUGUUUCUGUCCACUGUGGUAGGACUUUGAAGACUUUAGUCAGCCUUGGACAUGUAGCAGAAGUGUGAGUACACACAGAAAGAAGAAAUCAGUGAUGUCCAGAUAUUCCUUAGAGCACAAUAUGAGUGUUUGAAGUCAUCAGACCAGAAUGAUAAAUGGUAGAGACAACUGUGGCUCCCUAAAUUGCAUUUGCACCAGAGCUAUCGAGUGGUAAUUCUGCAUUUAGUACUCUACAAAGACAAGGAAAGACACAGCCUUUCUAAAGAGGGAUGAUCAGCAGUUUGACAGCCUCAAGAACAGAGAUAACAUGUUAUUGAAGUUAUUAUGGGUAGAGAUAGCCUGACAGGUAGGUGAAGACAAGUUGUUUCCAGGAUCUAAAUAUAUUGGAUAAACAGGAUAUACAGACAUAAAAAGAUACUGAGGUAGUGAGGUAGAACUAUGUAGAUGAUAAUGCUAGCAGUCCUUACUGCAGGACUGGAAAGGAUGGGCUUCACACUCUAGGCAUUGCAUACCACACUGGCUUAAAAGGAAACCGUGGCCUAGUUGCAUCUUCUGGGGCAUUUGGCUGUUCAGCAGAGCACUGCCUUCUUGCUCAGCCAGCCUGGAUGGGCUGGCAGGCUCAAGGUCCAAAGAGACCCUACUGCUGUCGCAGAAGCUUGGGCUACCCAGUAGCGUGCAAGAAAGCAGCUCCCUCAGGGUGGUGAACCCAGAGGAAUUACUCUAAUUAGUGAAGUCAGUGUUAAGCUACUGCUGUCCUAGAAAGUGUUGCCCUCUGGGGCAGAAAGUACCUUCUGUGAGUUGCAGAGCAGAAGCUAACUUGAGCCCAAAGUCUUCCAGUGGGAAUAUGAUUGGAGGCACAUCUGCAUGAUCCUGGUGUCACUGCAGGUCCUUAUUGAUUUCACAGCUCCCAUGUGGACAAAGACAUGGACCUACUUGUAGUAUUGCUGCCUAAAUCUAUUGCUAGAGAUCAGAGACAUGCUAUUUGCUACUAGUGAAAAUCAAGGGUACAACUAAAUGGUUUAUUUAGACUGGGAAAACUAGAUUAACUCUAAUUUGCUAUGGGCAAAUUUUUGUUUGUGAACUGAACCAAGGCAGCAUGUUUAAAUAAUGCAUGGAGCAGUGGUUCUAUCUUUAUUAGAGUGGGUAGGAAGCAAAAAUUCUGCAAAAUUUGGCACUCACUGCUUCUGUGUGCCUAUCCCUGAUAUAAAAAUAGUUUCAUUUUGAAAAUCCUUGCAGUAUCUCCUCUGUGGGAUUCUUAUAUAAUAAGUCACAGGUUUCUAAUUAUUUAUUGCAUCUAUCUCUAGUAUAUUUUGCAAGUUUCUUUUACAUUUUAUAUAGAUUUAUUUGUUUUACUACCACUUUGCAUUCUAAGAACAAAUCAGCUGUAAUAAAAAGCACAUUUCCUUGCAAGCAGAAUCAAUUUCCUUCAGAAGUCUUUCAUUCCCUGAUUAGCGUGUUACAUUUGGUCUUCACUAAUCACAACUGUGAGCAAUAAAAUUCUUAAAUAAAAAAGUGCUUUGGUCCAAGUCACUGUUAGUCAUAAUGGAUGGUUUCCUACUUAAAUUUCUGAAACACGAGAUGUGACUGGGCUACUUAGAUACUUACAUUCACAUUAAAAAUAUAACAAUUAAGGCCAGAUCUGUUUUUCUGCAGGUCAUUAGUAUGUUAUUAACAACUAAGUCUCAGCAGCAAGGUGAUUUGAUUGCAAGUCAGUAAUGUUGUGGGAAGCCUAAAUGGGUGUGGUUUUUCGAUUACUUUUAAGGGUUUGGGGUUACAGGUUGCUUUGGUGUUUUUUUUUCCCUUUUUGUUAGCCUGCUUCAGUGAGAAAGCAAUGAAGUAGAAGUUUUGUAUGUUACUAGGUCUUUCCAUGUUUCCUCUUCAUUGGUUUUAUUUUUGUAGACCCUGAAAUGUAAGUUAGCUAUAAGCCAUUCCUUUUGGUUGGUGCUGGAUGUGUAUUAGCGAGUUACGUUCUCAGAGGAUGUAUUUUUACUAACUGUGAACAGGAGUAAGUCACUGUAGAUCAGAAAAUUUGAGCUGUGGUGGAAACCCCUCUUGUGGCUUCUGUAGCAAAGUAAUACCUUUCCCAAUAGUGAAUUUAAACCAGCAUUUGCUGGAGAGCAUAGUUUGAAUCAUGGCUCCCUGUGGUCCAGCAACCACUCAACAUGGUUUCCCUAAUGUCUGUCAAAUAUUGUUGGAAACCACUCUGGCUGGACUGUAAGGUGAACAACGUUACAUGGGUGGUAUGAAUUCCCUGCAGAAACUGGAGGAUGCAUGGGGGAAGACAGAAAAUCACUUUCAGCCAAAAAUACAUAUAAAAAAGCAUUAGUGUUUAUUUCAAAAACAUCAUCUAACAGUGUUUUAGUUUCUAUAUAUGUGUGCUUAACAAAUGAUAAAAAGGAGAAGCUCUGUUUAUCAGAGGAGCCAGUGACUCGGAAGCUGAGGUCUGCGAGCAGAAAUGUUCUGCCUAGCCUUGGGUUUGCUUUGUGUGCAUUAUCAGUUGAGUGGGGUACUCCACAAUGAGUCUGCAUUUGAUUGGGGCUUAAACGCAAACCAAGGGUGUUAGAGAAGGCUGGAAGAAAGCUAUGUGUUGCAGACUUCUGCACGGGGAGAAUGACUCCUGCUGUGGUGCCGCACUGGGAGAUAACUCCUCUGUGCUGAUCUAUUACUUUGUGUGUCCCACUGGGACACCUGGGCCAUCACUUCCAGCAAGGGGCCGAACACUACUGGCAUGAAACAUGAACACUACUGCAUGAAUCAGAAAGCCAUAGAUUCCUUGUUGAGUAUAUUCUUCACGGCAUCCUGAGUCUUUGCUGCAACAAUGAAGACCGCAUGAAAAAUAUGUCAAACAAGAAGACCAAACUCUAAUUCAAACGUCAUGUCACCUGUAUUUUGGAAGAAGACUCCUGGUUUCAUAAAUCAACCUAUUUGUUUAAUUCAUGUCUCUGAGAAAAACUGUCCUGAUGGCCAUUAGGUUGCACUAACCAACUAAUCAUUUAUUAUUAGUAUUAGCAAAUAAAAUGACAUUAGUGAAUAAAAAGGGGGGGAGGAGAGAUAUAGUUUUGCAAUAAAUUUUUAACAUGUGAUUGGCCAAGCUAAGCACUGAAUUGUUCAGUUCUAUAACCACAACACAAGUUCACCUAUGUACUAUGUGCAAGGUGAAUUUUGCGUGUGUGUAUUCUGACUGGAAAUCAUAAUGGAUUCUGCAUUGGUUUGCAGUCCUCAAAGCAUAUCCAGAUCCACUGUUAUCAGCCUUGCUUUUAAAUGUUUAUCAUUGAGCUGUUUGUUUGCAAUGCUAAUGCUUUUUGAAAUGCCGUGCAUUGCACUUAAAUUUUCUCAUUGUUGAUUUCUUUUAGUUUCUCUGAAAUUUAUUGUAGAGGGAAAAAGCAAUGGCAAUCAAGAAUAUAGGGCACUGCAUUUGAGGAAAUGGAGUACAGAAAGAAGCCUUUCACUAAAGAGCUGCUGGUAAGAAUCCAGCUCAGCUUCAGAUUUAGCAAAAAUCAUUACUGUGUGAUGGCUUCUUGGUGCCCUGCACUCUAGAUCCACAAAUGAGUCAGAGUCUGCAUCUCACGAACCACCAGAACAAUUAAUGCUACUGUAAUUGGGAGUCUUCUGCCAGGACCGGUGGAAAGGGCAGGGACUGAGUGAGCAUGGAAAAAGAGCUGUUUUCUCCCUGCUCCUUCAGGUCACCUUUAAGACAUAACUGUGUGAGGAAAUCUUGAAGAAACUAGCUCUGUGGUAGCUCUCCUUCUGGAGAAAAAUGGAAGACUUUACUUGCCAGUACUGAGAAUCUGACACCCCCUUACAAACAUUAUAUUCAAGAACAAGAAAGUUCAUUAAGAGAUGGUUUAAUGUGUGAAAGUACGAACUUAAAAAAAAAAAAAAAAAAAAGUUGAACUAAUAAGAAAAUCCAAAGUGCUAAUUUAAAAUAAUAGGAACAGAGCCCAGCAAAUAUUAUAACGCCUGACCACCAUUGGCAACAGUUAUUUCCCUCAAAAAUACAGAAAAUCCUGCUCUAUUAUUAAACCAUUGAACAAUCUCUUCAAUUUGAAUCUAUCCUAGGCAAAAAGAAAGGAGUGCUUGCACUGUACAAGUACUCCUUGGAGAUGAGAAUGUGGAUUGAUAGAAGUGAUUCUGGACUUCAUUCAGGCUGAGAUGAUGCUUCAAUGUCAUGGUAACAUUGACUGGAAGGAGAGCUGUCAGCAACACUAGACACCAUAAACAGAGUGCCUUUAGGGAGGUCUGGGGCAUCUGGUGUGCACGUGGAUCACAGAAUAGUAGAUUGGAAGGGACCUCUGGAGGUCAUCUGUUCUGGUCCCUGAAACUGGCACUUACACAGACCCAUCUGCUGUGAACUGGGAAGUUCUUCACAUUAGAAUUUAUAUGCUACUGGCAGAAAAACUACCUCUGGCAGGAAACUCGCCCCACACUAUCAGAGAUUAAUUUUGCUUUAUAGUUCCCAUAGGCCUCAAACAGUUAAACUGUGAAGAUGUCUCUCAAUACGCUGAAAUGACAGAACCACGUCUGCUGAUUAUUGUGGUGAAUGUGAUAAAGAAUUAUUGACUAAGUGAAAGUAAAAAGAAUGUGCUAGAUAUCAGAUUAGCAAAAUAAGAUUAGUGCUAGCAAAUCUGAAAGGUUCUGAGACACCUUAGGCUAUUUUUGAAUUCAUGCCAUACAUGUAUUCAACUAAAAAUAAACUAGAAACUUCAAGGUUUUUUUCCACUGCAGUUCCUCAAAAACAAAACUUUUUGACUCCUCGUGAUAAAAUGAUUCAAAAAUGUAAUUUAAAUAAAGUACCUCAAACCAGAAAGUUCAGAGUGAGUGACCCAAUACAAAAAAUUCUGUUUGUGUGAGCAUGUGCACAUGUUUGUGGCGAGUUUGACCACAAAACCAAAAGACAAUUUGUUUAUUUUCAGUGCUUUAGCUGUAACCUGACACAUCCCUGCUUUUAUAUUUUUGGGUUUCUCUUCAAUAGAUAACGCUAGCAGAUUGUGUAGUUGUGUUUAUAGAGAGAAGACAAAGAUUAGAUACCUAUGUUCUUUCCCAGUUGUGUGGUGUGCACAAUUUGAAACCCAGGUCUGUGAGUGUGGAAAAGUGGAGUAAUUCCCUUUUCUUCAUUCUCUUAUGAGAUAUACCUGUAUCAUGAGGGUAGUGGGAAAUAAAUGCAUCUUUUCAGGGUAAAUAUGGAGAAGUAUUAUGGAGCACUACAAAGGCAUGAGAGCCAACUCUACAGUUUCUGGGAGAUGAGGGAUGACAGCACCCAGAACACAGGUUUUGGAGUUUAGAAGGAAAAAAAAAAAAAAAAAAAAAAAAAAAAAA